rnacentral:rRNA from 1 species
UACGUAGGUGGCAAGCGUUGUCCGGAUUUAUUGGGUUUAAAGGGUGCGUAGGCGGUCUAUUAAGUCAGUGGUGAAAUACUCCAGCUCAACUGGAGGGGUGCCAUUGAUACUGCGGAACUUGAGUACAGACGAGGUAGGCGGAAUUGACGGUGUAGCGGUGAAAUGCUUAGAUAUCGUCAAGAACACCGAUAGCGAAGGCAGCUUACUAGACUGUAACUGACGCUGAGGCACGAAAGUGUGGGGAUCAAACAGG